AAAGUGUUAAGUUAACUAAACUAAAAGCCUUCAAAGCUUAAAAUAAGAAAAUCCUACUUCUUAAACUUUA
rnacentral:tRNA from 1 species